UCCGCGCACAGAAAAUCUGUGCUGCGCACAAAAAAAAAAAAAAAACCUAAAUUGUAAAUAAAAUAAACACGUAACAAUUCAUUCUGUGCUAUUUUUCAAUGUGAGUCAGUGAGUGACCGGUGACUGGCUGCUGCAGCCAAUGAUGCGAUUCACAUACGUAUUUACCAUAGACUGUAUAUAAUGGUAUUUACGCAGCUAAUCAACGUCAGACGUCCUUCUGUAUAGCCACCGUUGUUCUCAUAGAUAUGAAUGAGUAGAUAGGACACGCCCCUUUGAGCUGCGUGCUACAGCGAGGCUAAGCUAGUGGGGGCAAAGUUUCAGUGCAUUCCGUUGAUGUAGACGGCGUGAAAACGGAAACAAGAAGUAUGCCGGCUCACUGUGCUGCAUACAGUUACACACUACGUCGUACGAUUGAGACAAGGAAACUUGGAAUGACUUUUCAUAGGUAAGAAUAGUUUUUGGCUCUUUUUUCAUUAUUAAAUCUUGUUGAGAGCUUCCAGUCUAUGAGAGCUAACUAGUUAGCCACUAGCAAAACACUAAGGCGAGCUAGCAGCUUGACAACCAAAUACCAGACGAUUAAUAGUAGCUGUAGUAUAGUUGUACAAGCAGUAGUAGUAAUACUAAAAGUACAAGCAGCAGCAGUAGUAUAAACAGCUGUCAGAGUCGUAGAAGUAGUAUCAGCAUUUGUAAUAGUAUUACAAGUUGUAGUAGCAGUGCCAGUAUCAGCAGCAGUAGUUCAAUCAAUCAAAUCAAUCAAAAAUUUAUUUAUAGAGCACUUUCCACCAACAUAGAAGAAGACCAAAGUGCUUUCCAGACAGAAUAAUUAAAAAAACAAUGCAGUUUUUGAUUACUAUAAAACCAUAAAACCCAUAAAAACACAAAACUAAGAAAAGCAUAAAAGCAUAAAACCAUAAAAAACAUAAAACAGUCCUAAGAUUCGAAAGCACGUCUAAAUAAAUAGGUUUUCAAUGUAGACUUAAAAAGCUGCAGGUUGGUAAUAACGCGGAGCUCGAGUGGGAGUGCAUUCCAGAGUCUUGGGGUGGCUACAGCAAAGCAUCGAUCACCCCACUGCUUAUACCGGGACCUGGGCAUAUCCAGCACCAUCUGUGUGGACGACCGGAGGGCUCUACUGGGGCGGUGGAUGGUUAAAAGCUCCGAUAUGUCUAAAGGAGCUAGGCCAUGAAGGGCUUUAAAAACAAUUGUUAAAAUUUUAAACUCAAUACGAUGAUGGACCGGGAGCCAAUGGAGGGCGGAGAGGAUGGGGGUGAUGUGUGUGUCUGGAUAUGCGGGUUAACAGACGGGCAGCUGCAUUCUGAACCAGUUGUAGUCGACGGAGUGACGAUUGUGUGACACCAAAUUAGAGAGCAUUACAAUAAUCGAUACGAGAACUGAUAAAAGCGUGAAUGGCCUAGUAGUUAGUGUACUACCACUACUACUAGUAGUAGUCACAUUGCUAUUACUAUCACCAAUACUACCAAUAGUAGUUAUAAAGCCUAACUCAUGUAUAUCCAGAUUACCAUCUAUGUUCUUCCUCCAAACCCAUUUUAUGAUUGGGAUUACAGGCAGUUCUUUAGGACUGCUCUCAAAUAAUUGAAAUGUUACUAAACAAGGUUAUACUUAUCAAAUUAAAUAGCUCUGGUCUCCAGUAUAUUGGCGAAUUUGGUUAUUUGUACUUAAUUUAUUAGCAUGAUUUCUUUUUAAUAUGUUGUGUACAGACUUAAUUACUUCUCUGUCUACUUUUCUUACUCCAUGUAGGUUUCCCAGAGACUAUGGGUUGAGGAGGAAUUGGAAGUUUGUCGGCUUAGACCUGGUGUCAUUCCAUCAGUGUUAAACUUCCCGGCUCAUCUUGGAAGAGUACAUGCCAGAAAGACUACGACCAAGCAGCCUUGAGAUCUUAGGCAGCGUCUCCCUGAGGUCCCUCUCUAUCUCCCCACACAUCCACCAACCACUGGAACACAUCUCCAAAGUUCUGCUGGGCCAGCUCAGCUUCCCCUCAGAAGAAGUGCUGCCACCUGCCAGAUGAAGGAGCCUUUUGAGAGGCAGCUGGCAUCGUGGUUGGACUGUACUUUGGUCUGUUCCAAUCCAGCUUCAGCUCCAGAGACGGCAGGCGGGACGAGUCAACGGAGGCCUGGUGGACGAAGGCAUGCAGCUGAGUACAAUCCAGAAAACAACAGAGGAGGAGUGCAGGGUCCAGAGCCAGAACAACCAGAGUAGCAUCAUAUGUCUCUUAGAAAACAUCAUAGUAGAGCCUUUGGUAUGAAAAAACGCCAUCAUAUACAUCAUAUAUUGUACAAAUAACAAGUCAAAGGAAAGAGACAUACAUUGUAGAAUUGUAGUAAUUGUGGGCUGACUGAUUUACUGAUUAUCAGUAUUUUAUUUUUUACUGAUUUACAGUAAUAAAUAAAUUUAAAAAUGGC